CUUACAAGUCAGGGGAGGGCUUUCUAGAUUUAACUUGGUCGCUUCCAAGAAUCACUAAAAAUAAUUCUGUCCAACCUAUGUCACAUUGUGGAAGACACAUGAUUAAAUUGGGAAGGAAAACAGGAAAUAUGCUUCUGAUGAGAAUUCCAUAAUCCAAUCAGUUAUGGAAUUAGAGUGCAGGACAUCUCUUAAAAGGGAUUUGAAGCAGGAGAAACACCUGGUUAGAAGGAUCAUGCACCUAAAGUUUAGUCGGGCUACAGCUUGGUUGCAAUGAAUAUCAUGAAAUUUCAGCCUAGUUUGGACAGAAGAUCAUGGAAUUUCAUGAUAUCUGGUGCAACCAAACAUACCCUAAAACAAAAAUCAGGUGUAGGCUGCAGAGAUUCUUAAAAGUGAAGGAAAAAUGGAUCCUCUACUGCUAUUCCAAAAAAAAAAAAAAAAUGGAAACCUUUAUGUUGUGAGAGUUUCUCCCCUAUAUUUUCCCUUUUGGAGUUCGAAGCAAGUGCCAACGGAAUUUUAUGUUUAUGGAGAUGACUGAUAAGGCAGUUAGCACCUGGAAGUGCUUUUGCAUUCGGCCACCUAUAAAAAUGAAAAUAAAUCAGGCAUUUGUAAUGUCCAAAUUCCACAUUGAUUGCAUCCAUUCACUGGCUAAUGUAACUACACAUUUAAAACAUGGUAACAUUAUCAUCUCUAUGAAUGGAAACACAAGCGAUUACAUUAGCAGAUUUAAUCCUUUCUCAUCAUAACAUUGAAGAUCACUUAUGAUAUUACUAUUUGAAUAGAUGCCCUAUUUCUCUCUAAUUGGAGAUACUUGUCUUAACGCUCUCUGAUUUAGGUAAGCCCAAGAUGAACAUUAUAGACUGUCCAGCUUCUGCCUAAAACCCAUGCCAGGGAGUUGAUGUAAUCAACCUAUGCUGUCUAUUACAUUGUGCCUAUGGGAGUUUUGUGCUAUCAUUGCUGGUCCCAAGCUUAGAUAAUCAUCUGCAAUUGGCCAAGCAACUAUACUUGCAGGGUAAGAAGUCCCCGGGCAAAAGGAUAACUGGUUUUCAGGUAAUGCACCACCUCUGCAUUAUUUCUGGCUUUAAUCUUAUCAUGCCUUUUUUCUUAAA